GGAAGUCACUUUGCAGACCAGGUU
rnacentral:piRNA from 1 species